rnacentral:rRNA from 1 species
UACGGGGGGGGCAAGCGUUGUUCGGAAUUACUGGGCGUAAAGGGCGCGUAGGCGGUUCGAUAAGUCAGCUGUGAAAACCAUGGGCUUAACUCAUGGCCUGCAGUUGAGACUGUCGGGCUGGAGUGUGGGAGAGGAGAGUGGAAUGCCUGGUGUAGCGGUGAAAUGCGUAGAUAUCGUAAGGAAGACCAGUGGCGAAGGCGGGGUCUCUGGACAGUUCCGUGACG